UCAAGCCGGGGCCAGGUGGGGACCAGGAGCAGCAGGGGAGAUGCCAAGAGUCAACAGAUGGGAAAAAACAAGAAACACUAAAUGGGAGACUCAAUUGUUUGGGUGGAAGAAUUUACCUUCUAGCUGAUUUUUAAAAUAUUUCCUCAUCUUAAAACAAGAAAACAAACAAGAUGGUCCAUAGCACCUUUGUAAUCAGCACAAUUCAAUCAACUUCCACUAUCGUUGUUCUUCAAGUGACCACUCUGGGUGAGCUGUACUAGUUGUGAAGAGUAUUUACUUCUAGACUUCCGCCUCCGACACUUACCAGAAAAAAUAAAAGAUUACGAUAAUGUACUUAUGAAGAUGAAUGAAUCCAUUUCUUCUAUUUGAUAUGAAACUCCUUAAAGUUCUGCAGCCUCCUUUUUGCUUAUUCAACACUCCACUCCUUUUUAUGAAGUGCUGGGCACUGUGGAUAUCUUGAGGAUACAAAGGGAGAAGGCAUCAGGUUGGCUAAGCUUAGGCCAUGUGUCCACCAUUGGCCAGAGGAAGAUAGGUACCACUAUUGACUAUAUCCUGUAAAAAAGAAGUGUUUAUCCAAACCACAUUUGGAAUGCCGUGAUCACAAAAAGGGAGAAAAGAUACUGAGCUGCCAAAAUAAAAUUGUCCACUAUAGGAGUCACUCUUCUUGCUGGAUGAGUUCUCAGAGUCCCAGUCUUGUGGAUUCCUAGUCUAUACCUUUCUCUGUGCUUAACUGGAUGAAGUUUCAGCAUGCCUUCUAAUUGGUUCCACAUGGUUUCGAAAGCUCUCAAUAUAUGAAUACCAGGAGUCUUUGAAAUAUAAUUCUCCAAUAAGAAGUAAGCAUAAAUAAUGGAAAAGAAUCUAUUUUUCUCCAGAAUGGUAGAUUUUUAAAUACUAGAAAUGUAAAUAACAAUGAGAACCCACAAAGAAACCUCUUUUUUAUUAAAAAAAAGAAAAAAGAAAAAAACAACCCUGUAUAGUCAUAUCAUUUAGAGCAACUCCUUAAGGAAAAAAAGUCAUGCCCUGUGCCUUUCCCAGCACUCAAUAGUUAGCCAAAAUAUUAACUAAUAAUCCCUCUGUCUAUUGCGCUCAGAAUCAUUUUUUUAUUUUAUUAUUUUACAGUGAUAAAUAUUUGUUUUAUUUAAAAUUAUAAAUACAGGGGUGCCUAGGUGGCUCAGUCAGUUAAGCAUCUGCCUUCAGCUCAGGUUAUGAUCCCAAGGUCCUGGGAUCAAGUCCCACAUCAGGCUCCCUGCUCAGAGGGGAGUCUGCUUUUCCCUCUCCCUCUGUCCUUGCCCCCAGCUUGAGCUCUCUCACUCUCGCUCUCACUUUCCCUCAAAUAAAUAAAUAAAAUCUUUAAAAAACAAAAUAAUAUAAAAUAAAAUUACAAAUACAGAACACCACGUAAUUUUACAAAGAUUAGAACUCUG